CCCUGAGAAACUCUGUGCAACCAUAGUAACCAGACAGCAGGCUCUGUGUAACCUUGAGUGAGCUCUCCUAUGUUUUGACCAAGUAAAGCUCCUACGUGAGAAACUGCUUGUACUUUCUUGCCUACUUAAGUGUUAACCUGAUGUCCAUUAACUAGACACCUGGAUCAGCAUGUAGACUUGGUGUCCUUCUCUGUGUUUCCCUGUCUCUCUCUCUCCCAGCCCUCUCUCAGGUGGUAUUCAGGUGUCACUGCUGGCCAGUGACAGAUGGAGCUGAAACCCUGGGAACCUGAGACAGAGGACCAGCUGAGGCAAGUUAUACAGACCACAGGAACACACGCAAAGCAACUAAGGUGAGCCUGCUCCCUUAUUUAGAGUCUACACUGGAUUGUCUGAGUGGACUGUGUUGUUUGAGAAUAUUGGUGAGGAGUCAGAUGUACAAUGACCAGAAGUCUUUUUCUGAUUCAUGGGGCACUGGAUCUGUGAAAACCAAGCUUUUCAAAUCCACAUUUGCCGGUGACACUGCAAAUAGCCAGGAAAGGUUGGCCAGCCCUGAUGUGAACAAGCCAUCCAGGAUGGAGACUAAGCUAUCUACAGAGUUGUUAAAUUCUCAAGAUGGGAGCCUAGCAUAGCUGUCUUGGGAAAGGCUCCACCCAACUCCUGAUGGAAACAGAUGCAGAGACCCAAAACCAAACAUUAGAUUGGGGAUCAUAGCCCCAGAAAAAUUAAUUGCUUCAUGUCAAGUCAGUAACAGCAGAGAGAGACACAGGUAAUUGGACUGGAGAAUUCGAUACUACGAUGGAGCAGCUGAGAGUGGCCAUUGUCACAGUAAAUUCUACCGGAGUGGACGCAGGACUACUAGCCACAGGAUUAUCAACAUGGAUUGCUGCAGCCAUGAAUCAUCUGAAGGAAUGGGCAGGCAUGGGAGUGUUAGCAGGCCUUCUGGUGUUGGUCUCCUUGGUUUGCCUGUGGUAUAUAUGCAAGAUUAGAGUCUCACAACAGUGUGAUGCAGCCAUGAUCAUUCAGGCCUUUACAGCCAUUGAA